rnacentral:rRNA from 1 species
UACGUAGGCAGCAAGCGUUGUUCGGAGUUACUGGGCGUAAAGGGUGCGUAGGCGGCUUUUUAAGUUUGGUGUGAAAUCUCCCGGCUCAACUGGGAGGGUGCGCCGAAUACUGAGAGGCUAGAGUGUGGGAGAGGAAAGUGGAAUUCCUGGUGUAGCGGUGAAAUGCGUAGAUAUCGGAAAGAACACCAACGGCGAAAGCACUCUGCUGGGCCGACACUGACACUGAGAGACGAAAGCUAGGGGAGCGAAUGGG